CGCAUGAAUGUCCCACAUUCUGGCAAGAUGGACUAAUUCUUCAAACUUGCUUCCAGAGUUGACUACGAUCUGGUGUUUGUGUACCCACCAAUUAAAGAACAACUAAACAAAAGCGAUCUGAGCCAGAAGUUCCGCAGAAGAGACGAUGUCUCUAAUCCAAGCAGUUUUCCCCAUGGUCUGGAGCCGCAGCUUUGCAUGCCUAACGUGUGCCAGUCCGGGUAGCUACCCCCAUUUCAGUAGGAUUACCCCCACAGUCCUUCUGAAAGCAGCCACGUUUCUUUGCUUCUUCUUCAUUCGCUGCCCACCAUGUGGCCAGACUGGGCCACCUUUGCUACACAAACCAGCUACCUUUGGACCUUUCUUCAGUUCUGUUCUCCAGAAUGGUUCAUGUAAGAGGUGGUGUCUGGGCAGAGGAAAUUAGUUUAGGAAGAUCACACAGCUCAACGUCCCAGCCUCCACCUGUCAGUGGAUCAACAGCUUCCUG